UACGAAGGGGGCUAGCGUUGUUCGGAAUUACUGGGCGUAAAGCGCAUGUAGGCGGAUAUUUAAGUCAGGGGCGAAAUCCCGCAGCUCAACUGCGGAACUGCCUUUGAUACUGGGUAUCUUGAGUAUGGAAGAGGUGAGUGGAAUUCCGAGUGUAGAGGUGAAAUUCGUAGAUAUUCGGAGGAACACCAGUGGCGAAGGCGGCUCACUGGUCCAUUACUGACGCUGAGGUGCGAAAGCGUGGGGAGCAAACAGG
rnacentral:rRNA from 1 species